AGUGAACGCUGGCGGUAGGCCUAACACAUGCAAGUCGAACGGCAGCACAGUAAGAGCUUGCUCUUACGGGUGGCGAGUGGCGGACGGGUGAGGAAUACAUCGGAAUCUACUUUUUCGUGGGGGAUAACGUAGGGAAACUUACGCUAAUACCGCAUACGACCUACGGGUGAAAGCAGGGGAUCUUCGGACCUUGCGCGAUUGAAUGAGCCGAUGUCGGAUUAGCUAGUUGGCGGGGUAAAGGCCCACCAAGGCGACGAUCCCUAGCUGGUCUGAGAGGAUGAUCAGCCACACUGGAACUGAGACACGGCCCAGACUCCUACGGGAGGCAGCAGUGGGGAAUAUUGGACAAUGGGCGCAAGCCUGAUCCAGCCAUACCGCGUGGGUGAAGAAGGCCUUCGGGUUGUAAAGCCCUUUUGUUGGGAAAGAAAAGCAGCAGGUUAAUACCCCGCUGUUCUGACGGUACCCAAAGAAUAAGCACCGGCUAACUUCGUG
rnacentral:rRNA from 1 species